AGAAAGGGAUAUUGAUGCGGGUUGUGAGAGCGACCCAUCUCAAACGCGCACCAACGCAAAAUAAUAGUACAAAUUUCUAGCGGCUCACAUUUGCCGUUGGUACGCAAUUUGAGAGAGAGAGAGAGGAAGAAAGAGAGAUGACGAGAGGAAAGCAGAAGAUUGAGGCGCAAAGGCGGAAUGCAGAGAGGAAUCAGAAGCCAAAAGGAUCUCAGCUUGAUGCUCGAGCCGUUGCCCUCAAAGUUAGUUGCCCUAUCUGUAAGACACAACUAGCGAAUCAGAAUCAGCUUGGCGAUCAUUAUUCUUCCAAACAUCCAAAGGAAAAACCUCCUGCUGAAUCAAGUUGAUUGAUUUCCUCUUAAUGUAAAAUAUGCAAAAUAAAAUUAGAAAAAAUGAAAAAGAAAAGAAAAAUUCAUGUCUGUUUGCGGAAGUUCUAAUGUGUGCAAACUUUUGUUAUCUGAACAGAGGAAUUUAUUUUUCACUAUCUAGUUCUCUGUGGAGUGGGGACUUUGUAUGACUGAAUGAUGAUGAAAGCUUGCUGUUUUCUCCUA